rnacentral:rRNA from 1 species
AUUGAACGCUGGCGGCAGGCCUAACACAUGCAAGUCGAGCGGAGCGGCGGACGGGUGAGUAAUUCCUAGGUAGCUGCCUGGUCGUUGGGGAUAGCGUCCUGAAACGGGCGCUAAUACCACCUACUCUCAGAUGAGCCUAGGUCGGAUUGGCUAGUUGGUGGGUUAAUGGCGUACAAAGGCGACGAUCCGUACCUGGUCUGAGAGUAUGAUCAGUCACACUGGAACGGAGACACGGUCCAGACUCCUACGGGAGGCAGCAGUGGGGAAUAUUGGACAAUGGGCGAAAGACUGAUCCAGCCAUGCCGCGUGUGUGAAGAAGGUCUUCGGAUUGUAAAGCACUUUAAGUUGGGAGGCGUUACCAACAGAAGAAGCACCGGCUAACUUCGUGCCAGCAGCCGCGGUAAUUC